UACGAAGGGUGCAAGCGUUACUCGGAAUUACUGGGCGUAAAGCGUGCGUAGGUGGUUCGUUAAGUCUGCCGUGAAAGCCCCGGGCUCAACCUGGGAAUGGCGGUGGAUACUGGCGGACUAGAGUGCGGUAGAGGGUGGUGGAAUUCCCGGUGUAGCAGUGAAAUGCGUAGAGAUCGGGAGGAACAUCUGUGGCGAAGGCGGCCACCUGGACCAGCACUGACACUGAGGCACGAAAGCGUGGGGAGCAAACAGGAUUAGAUACCCUGGUAGUCCACGCCCUAAACGAUGCGAACUGGACGUUGGGCUCAACUAGGAGCUCAGUGUCGAAGCUAACGCGUUAAGUUCGCCGCCUGGGGAGUACGGUCGCAAGACUGAA
rnacentral:rRNA from 1 species